GCCAGAUUUCUGGGCCUCCAUAUUGUGCACCCAGUUACCAUAAGACUCCUCCAGAGACCCCACCGCUGAGAGGCACCACCCUGCUGAGGAAUCUCCUUAGAGCCCCCUUCAUGUCCCUAUUCCUCAGACUGUAGAUGAAGGGGUUCAGCAUGGGCGUGACAAUCGUGUACAUCACUGAGGCCACCAGACUUGUCCUAGAGGAUGAAGUCGCUGCAGAACUGAGGUAGACCCCAAGACCUGUUCCAUAGAACAAGGAGACCACUGAGAGGUGAGACCCACACGUGGAAAAGGCUUUGUACUUGCCAGUAGCUGAGGAAAUGUUGAGUAUGGAGGAAACAAUUUGAUAGUAGGACAAAAGUAUUCCGUUGAAAGGAAUCACGGCCAGAAUGCCAGUUGCAGAAUACACCACCACGGUAUUGACGAAGGUGUCAGAACAGGCAA
rnacentral:lncRNA from 1 species